rnacentral:rRNA from 1 species
AGCGAACGCUGGCGGCAGGCUUAACACAUGCAAGUCGAGCGGGCACUUUCGGGUGUCAGCGGCGGACGGGUGCGUAACGCGUGGGAACGUGCCCUCUGGUUCGGAAUAACUCAGGGAAACUUGAGCUAGUACCGGAUACGCCCUUUUGGGGAAAGGCUUGCUGCCGGAGGAUCGGCCCGCGUCUGAUUAGCUAGUUGGUGAGGUAACGGCCCACCAAGGCGACGAUCAGUAGCUGGUCUGAGAGGAUGAUCAGCCACACUGGGACUGAGACACGGCCCAGACUCCUACGGGAGGCAGCAGUGGGGAAUAUUGGACAAUGGGCGCAAGCCUGAUCCAGCCAUGCCGCGUGAGUGAUCAAGGCCUUAGGGUUGUAAAGCUCUUUUAUCCGGGACGAUAAUGACGGUACCGGAGGAAUAAGCCCCGGCUAACUUCGUG